GGGAUUUCCUAAUCUGCAUUUAAUAUCAUACCAUCCACAUACCCAGAAGAUUCUAGAUCACACCACAGAGACCCUGGUUCAUUCAUGUUUAUUCCUUCUGUGUUUACAGAAAUCAAGAAGUCAAACCAGCUCAGACGUCUAUCAAGAUGAAUUGGCAAUGAUGAAUGAUAAAUAGAAGCAAUGUGCCAGUGAACUAGCUGUAGCCCCUCACUGACCUUUGUUGCCUGGACUGGAACAUGUGAAACUGAGAGCAGCCAUCAGAAAGAUGCUUAUGAUUGGAUGAGACAUCACAGAAAGACAUCAUCUUCCCAGUUCUGUGGACAUGGGGACACUUGCUGCAUUCUGCUGUGUCCAGAUCUGCCUCCUGUCCUUCCUGGUGAAGUGAACACGGGGAUGCCUGUGCCUUUCGCUUGAUGGUGAUAACACAUGUGCCUUCCUGACCUCAUGUGUCUGACUUUAGACACGGAAGGAUCGGUCUUCACUCAACAUCUCCCAGUCAGCAUCUCCCAGAGCCCUCCUCUUCCAUUUCUAGCCUUUGUUGAGGGCACUGACAUGGAAUGAAGAAUCAGAAGGGGAAAACGUCAUGAAUUUAAAGAGGAAUUUGUAACUGGCUGCUUCAAAUAUGACGUCCAUAUAACAAAGUUAUGUCUAGCUCUCCUAAUACAUAAUGGGACUGCCAAAAAGGAGUGCUUAGUAUUGUCUUAAUUAGUUUUCUAUUGAUAAAGCACCAUGAGCAAAAGCAAUUGGGGCGAAAAGGGUUUAUGUCAUCCUACAACUAUUCUCAGGUCACUGUAGCAGGCUUUCUCAGCUCACCAGGCCCCAAAUCAUGACAGGGAGACUUAAUAUUAGUUAUGAAUGCUUGGCCUUAGUUUAUCCUUGUCCAACAAGCUCUUAUAACUUGUUUUCAUUCAUCAACACUUUGCCUUGGGGCUUUUUUUCACCUUUCUUUCAUUCUGCAUGUCUUUCCUCCAUGUCUGGCUGGCUGCUGCUUAGCUGUCACCUGCCUCCCCCCUCCCCAUGUGUCCUUCUCUUUCUCCAUUGUUCUCUCUCUCUCUCUCUCUCUCUCUCUCUCUCUCUCUCUCUCUCUCUCACCUGUAUUCCUCCUCCUACUUACUCUUUCUGCCAGACAGCCCCACCUAUCCCUUCUCUGCCUAGACUGGCUAUUUAGCUUUUAAUUAGGCCAAUCAGGUGCCUUAGGCAGGUAAGGUGAAACAGCACAACUUUACGUAGUUAAACAAAUGCAGCAUAAACAAAAGUAACACAUCUUUACACAGUUAAACAAAUGCAGCAUCAACACCUUUACAAAGUUAGAGUAAUACUCCACAAUAGGUCACACUUGAAGGGAGAUCAGGAUCUCAAGGAGGGAGCUUGAAUGCACGAAGUGAAAUGGAAACCAUAGAGGAACACUGCUUACCAGCUUGCUCUCCAAGACCUGUUCAGCUGUCUUAUAUAACUCCAUACUAUGUACCCAAGGGAAACUGGGCCUUCUCUCAUCAGUCAUUAAUUUAGGAAAUGCCUGUAGACUAACUUAUAGGACUAUCUUUGAAAAAGUUUUGAGAUUAUAAUUUAGUUCCAACAUUUCUCACCUCCUCCCAAACCUACCCUUAUAUAUCUUCCAACUCUCUUUCAGAUUCAUGGCCCUCUUUCAUUCACUGUUAUUAUAUACAUAUUCUAAAUAUAGCCUGUCUAAUCUGUAUGAUAUUUCUUGUGUGUUUGUUUUCCCCAGGGAAGACUCCUUCUUCUCGGAGUUUUUCUCAGUUGCCUGGCACAGGCCAGUCUUAGGGAGACAUCUUCUCAACUGUGAGUUCCUUUUCUCAGAUGACCUUAAUUUGUGACAAAUUGACAGAAAACAAAUUAUCACAACUAUUGUUUCCAUGAAUAUUAUUAAAAAGUAUGGAAAAUGUUUUACUCUUAAUAUGUACAUAUUAGCUUUAUUAUGUUUUUGAAGGUAAUGUCAAUUCCAAAGAGCAUAUAUGCCACUCUGGGUAAUCUCUGAGCAGAAACUGUCAGAAGACACAUUGAUCACAUUAUCCUUCUAGCUUCUCUCCUACAUUCCCAUUUUCCUCUGGAAACUGGGACUCUGACCUACAUCUAAGUAGGCUUCUUUAGCCACUUGCUGGAGGUGGACUCUGCCAGCACGAAACACCAGCUGGAGAGCAGAAAGAGGAAGCAGAGUGAGGCCGGCUGUUUACUCCCCAGGCCCUUUCCCGGCAGGACCAUGGACUUCAGGUUGGCAGCAGCCCUUGACCAAAAGUCACAGGUGCUGUCAGAAGGGACAAAGCAGUGAGUGUUGGGAAAGAGCACUGUACUCAAUGUCAUUUGAAAUGUUUUCUGGAUGUGUGACAGAACGGUGUAUUUUUUUUUUUAGCUGGGUUUCCUCAUUCGAAGUUUUCCUCACCCUGUGAUACUGUCUCAGCGGCCCUUUGGGUCUGAGGGGCAAACAGUGCAGCUCUGUGAUGCAGCCCCAUCUUCUGCAAGUUCUUCACAGUCCCACCAGUGACCCAUUCAUUAAAUUCCCCCCAGCUCUAGAGUGUGAGAAUGCCACUGUUCUAUGUGGACUUGGUGUGAUACCCCAGGAGUGUUUUUAAAACCUAUUAUAGGACACAGCAAUAUCUGCUCAGCAUUAACAAGCUGUAUGCACUUAGUACUUUAAAAAGUAAUAUAGAUUAAUUUUAAAAUUUAUAUACUUGGAGGGGUAAUGUGUGCAAUAGAAGCUCACUCUCAAUAAUUAACUAAUUUAAUGACCAUUUAUCUUGCAUCUUCAACAUCCUUCCCUCUUAGCCAAACUUUCAAAAUAUGAGAUGAAUGUGACUUGGGUCUAGCUUUAAGCUUUAAGGGGUAAGGCUUAAGUAGAAAUUUUUGUUAUAACAGCAACUCCCAGAUAGAUGAUAGCUAUUGGAAUGGAAAUGAUGACAAAACUAACUAGAUGGUUCUGGCAAACGAAAGGAAAAUAUGCAAACGCUGUCUAAAAUUUGUUGCUUUGGGGGUGUUAUUUUGAAUUGCAUAAUACAAUUUUUCAGGCAUUAUUUAGAAUUUAUAGUUUUUUUUGAAAUAUAAAAAUGUUGAGAAUUUUCUCCUAGCAAGCCAGUUUUUGUAAAAACAUAGUAAAAGUUAAUUGCUAUUGAUGUUAAAA